CCUGUGGCUCUGUUGAUUGUAAAAGUUCUUUGCUUUGAAUUUAUUUAUGCAGAAUAAUAACCAGUGACAGCCUGUUUGAAGGAUAACUCCAGAGAGCCACAGCUGAGCUUGUGUAGAGGAUUUUCACCAGUGAUGGACCUCAAGGAAAGGGUGAAGCUCUGAAACCACAACCACCAUUCCUGUAAGUCACAUCACCGGCACUAAGGAACUAGCCCGAUUGACACGUAGGAUUGCGGGUUGAGCAGCAACAGCCAGAUGACAGAGUCAAAA